AGCUUUCUCAGCUGAAUGCCCUCACUGAAAGUCAGGCGGGUCUGAGAGAGGAAUCAGAUAAACAUUUCUGGAGAUAUAGAAGCCUGCCUGCAAAAUCUCAUUUAAGAUGGCAAGCGAUAUGGAGGAGUCCAAAGGAAAAUUCCUUGGUCUGUUUUAUGUGCAGUCACAAUAUGACCUGAGGUAACUUGGAGAAAUUUAAUAUCUCCCCAGAUUGUAUGAGGCCAGAAACUCCAGGAUUGUAUUUGAUCCUAAUUCCACACUGUCAUAUAUAAGGGGAAAUGGCACAAAUCAGUUCUACCGUAUCACCAGCCAACCUAUUUUCUGAUGAGAAGGACAAUCCUUUGUUUUGGAGGAGUUUAUAAAGUGGAAUUUAUUUUACUCGACUCCUUCUUUGAUUGAAAUAUUGUCAACUUAACAAAAUAGUGAAAGAGCAUUGGCCUGGAGUCAGAAGACUUGAAUUCUCAUCCUAGAUCUGCUACUAACUAGCUGUUUGACCCUGAGAAGUCACUUUACCAGAAUUACAGUCUUUCUCUGAGAUGAGGAAAGUGGAGUAGAUAUGUCACUUGAGGUCCCUCCCAAGUGCUAAGAUUCUAUGACUCCACGAAUUCAGACUAUCAGAGGAGAACACUGCAGCGUUCUUCUACAUAGGUUGUAAAUGAGUCCGCUUGGCUUUUGGCCUGUCUCUCUCCUUGUUGUAAGAUGGCUAUAUUUUGAGAUACUUGCCGUUGAGAUACAGUCACUAUGUGGGAGGAAACCCAGGUGGCAUGGAGAGGCCACAUGUAGGUGUUGUAACCGACAGCUCGUUAAGUUCUAGCGGAAGCCAGCAUCAACCUGCAGAGUGAAUGAACCUUCGAUUGAGCUCAACUCCCAGCCCCAGAGUCUUCCAGUUUAGGCCUCAGAUAUCACAGAGAAGAGACAAACCAUCCCCCUAUGCUGUGCUGAAUUCCUGAGCCACAGAAACCUGAGAGAUGUUAAAUGAUUAUUGCUUUAAGUCACUGAAAUUUGAACUAAUUUGUUAUGCAGCAAUAGAUAACUUUUGCUAUAUGCUUCAUUGUUCAUGUGCAAUCGGUCGAGGAAGAUGGGGGAGGGCAGAGAGACUAUGAGAAACUAUCCCUUGCUAUGGAGUAACCAUCUUCCCCUUCAGUCUGAAUGAGCCAACUUAGGUCUCAUACCCACUCGCAGACCAAUAGCAGCUAUCAGAGAAAGUCAUGCAUUGGUUGGCCUGGAAUACUUGGGAUCUCCCCUCUCAAGCUGGGCAUAGAGCCAGCUUCCCUGGCGUCAUGUGAGCUGACUAGGGGUUAGUUACAGACCUGAGCCAAAUAUAGUUAAAAAGGAGAAAAGGGAAAUGAAAGGUGAGCUAGAGGAAAUGAGGUUCACUACAUGCAGGUAAAAAAUGAUUCACAGAUGUUAAAGUAACACUGAUGAGAUUACUGCGUUAAUAUAGAAUAAAAAUUGAAUGACAAAGAGACCAUUUAGUAUUUAAGCAUAAUCAGUAUUUAUAGAAUGUCUUCUGUAUAAAAGUCACUGUAUUAUGAAUUCCAGGGAGUCAGUGAUUAGUCAGACGUGGAGCUUGCUCUCAAAGAGCUUAUGCUAUAGUUGUUUGGUGAAAAGUGAAAGCGAAAUACAGAUUGAGCGACAGGGGAGCUCAGAGAGGAGGGAGAUUGCUUCAACUCAGGACAGUCAGGGAGGGCUUUUUGGAGGAGCUGGCAUUUGACCUGAGAAUGAGUCAGAUUUGCAUCUAUGGAGAACAAUAGGGAAGGGAUUCCAAGCAGAAGGAACAGCACAAGCAAAGGCAUGGAGAUAGGAAACCUAUAGAUAAAGUCUGAGAACAUCAGAGACAAAUCAGAAAAUAAUAAUAACAAGUGGUGCCUCUUACUAUGAGAUAUAGAGACUUCUUAUAGAGCUUUAAUAAUUAAAGGACUUUGUGUGGCAUUGGCACAGAAAGAGACAAAAAGAACAAAUGAACAAAUAAGUGAGGAACAAGCUAACCAAUCAAAAACUGGAACAGAGAGCAUAGGAACAUCCCCACAUGUAUAUGGAAACUUGGUGUGUAAUAGAGGGCAUUGCAUUUCAGAAGGGAAAAGAAAGACUGUUCAAUCAAUGGUGCAGAACAAUUAUCCAAAGAGAUGGAAAAAGAUACGAUUAG
ensembl:lncRNA